AACGUACGCUGGCGGCACGCCUAACACAUGCAAGUCGAACGUAGUAGCAAUACUGAGUGGCAGACGGGUGAGUAACAUGUGGGAAUCUGCCUUGUGUUUCAGGACAACAUUGGGAAACCGAUGCUAAUACUGGAUAAGCCCUUACGGGGAAAGUUUUAAUGCCAUAAGAUGAGCCCGCAUUUGAUUAGUUAGUUGGUGAGGUAAUGGCUCACCAAGACAAUGAUCAAUAGCUGAUCUGAGAGGAUGAUCAGCCACACUGGGACUGAGACACGGCCCAGAAUCCUACGGGAGGCAGCAGUGGGGAAUCUUGCACAAUGGAGGAAACUCUGAUGCAGCGAUGCCGCGUGAGUGAAGAAGGCCUUUGGGUUGUAAAGCUCUUUUGUAGGGGAAGAUAAUGACUGUACCCUAAGAAUAAGGUCCGGCUAACUUCGUGCCAGCCGCCGCGGUAA
rnacentral:rRNA from 1 species